UAUUUUACCUGGCAGGGGAGAUACCAUGAAGGUAGUUUUCCCAGGGCAGGUUUGGUAGUUUUUCCAUUGCACUUCAGAUAUGCUGACCGCUGUGCUUUCCCCAAAUGUGGGAAACUUGAUUGCAUAAUUUGUGGCAGUGGGGAACUGUAUUUGUGCUCCCCCCCA
ensembl:snRNA U1 U1 spliceosomal RNA